GCGCUCGGGCCCCUCAGGCGGGUCGCGGCCCAGAGGCGCCGGGCGGACGCGGCUCCCGCUGCGGGCGGCGCCGGAGGACGGACCACACGGCCCAUAAGGCGUUGCGGCGGCCGCCGCCUGCCAGUCAAAACAGGGUGGUGGGCACCAGAGGCUCUCCCUGCCCUCCCUGUCCCACACCAUCCGCUGUGCUGGCAGUGGAUAGGCUGCCUGGGUUCCAAUCCUCCAGCCCAAACAGCCCUCAGGCCUCUGGAUGCAAAUCCAACUCUUCCCUCUGGGCUGAGGGACAAGAAGCAAGAUGUGUCUGAGACCAACCAGCAAAGCUGGGCUCAGGAUGCUCAGUGGGGACCCAGCAGCUCCCCACAGCAGCCACACACUUUUGCCUGGUAGCAACAGCCCUUGGAAGAGCCACAGAGGAUGAGGGCAUUGGAAAUCUAUGCCAGGAGUGAGAGGCACAAAGAGCAGGAGUUGCUCUGCCAGGAGCCAGUUUUAAACCAUCCCUGCUCAGCAGAGCUUUGGAAGGGUCUCACUUCAACCACUUCUCACCAGCACUGAGCCUCUUCUGCCAGGGCAGGAGCUCAUGGCUCCGGUCUUGAGAGAGCUUAAAAGGAAGAGCAGCCUCUUUGGAAGGAGAGAAGGUGUUUCCUCAAGUCUGCAGCUCCUGGGAGACUCACACAGAAGGUAUUUGAAACCCUUUUCCCUUUACUGUUGCUGUGGUUAGAUUUGCAGGUUGUAGUAUCCAGUUAAUUUGAACCCAGAGCAGGAAAAGGUGCCCCAUGAAAUGAUUCCCUUCAGAGAUACAGAAGUAAAGGCAAAGGAUGCAAAUAGAAGCAGGGAAAAGCAAAGGGAACCACAGCCCUUGUUGGCUGGGAGCCAUCAGGGUGCCUCAAAGCACCCAGAGAGAUGCUUUGUGUGUGAAGCCACUGGUGCUUCAGGAAUGGGAUGUGCAGGAGAGCACAAGGUUCAUCUCAGCAUCUGGUAAUGGUCAGGGGAUGGUGAUGAUGAUGAUGAUGAUGAUUAGGGGACUGGCACAUCUCUCUGAUGAGGAAAGGCUGUGAAACCUGGGGCUCUUCAGCCUGGAGAAGACUAAUGGAGGAGCUUAUUAACACUUCUA